UCUGACGUUCUGACAAGUCGAGAAUUUGCGACAGUUUGUUUUCUGAACUUCCGAAGUGUACGCGACUGUGUCGACGUGAGGAAAGAUGACAACGUUGUCAAAAGAAGAUGGGAGAACUGUUGAGCGAAAGAUGAAGCCUGUUCCCUUUCCUACUCUCAGCAGAGUCAGGGAGGAGAAGCAGCAACCUCCUUUAGCCAUCUGAGGAGAGA